rnacentral:tRNA from 1 species
GCUCGGAUAGCUCAGUCGGUAGAGCAAAGGACUGAAAAUCCUUGUGUCCCGUGUUCGAUUCACGGUCCGAGCA